AUUGAACGCUGGCGGCAGGCCUAACACAUGCAAGUCGAACGAGUGGCGGACGGGUGAGUAAUGUCUGGGAAACUGCCCGAUGGAGGGGGAUAACUACUGGAAACGGUAGCUAAUACCGCAUACCAUCGGAUGUGCCCAGAUGGGAUUAGCUGGUAGGUGAGGUAACGGCUCACCUAGGCGACGGUCCCUAGCUGGUCUGAGAGGAUGACCAGCCACACUGGGACUGAGACACGGGCCAGAAUCCGACGGGAGGCAGCAGUGGGGAAUAUGGCACAAUGGGCGCAAGCCUGAUGCAGCGAUGCCGCGUGUAUGAAGAAGGCCUUCGGGUUGUAAAGUACUUUCAGCAGGGAGGCGUGAGCCGCAGAAGAAGCACCGGCUAACUCCGUGCCAGCAGCCGCGGGAAUAC
rnacentral:rRNA from 1 species